rnacentral:tRNA from 1 species
GGGCCGGUAGCUCAGUUGGCUAGAGCGCUUGUAUGGCAUACAAGAGGUCAGGGGUCCGACUCCCCUCCGGUCCAC